GUUUCAGACAAGUGAAGAACAUGCCUGAGAUUGCCUGGAUUGUUACUUUUGGCAAAAAAGUUUCUAAAUUGGCGUGUGGAAUCUUACCAAGUCACAAGAGGAACUGGUUACAGCCAGAGCCAGGAGAAACUCGGUCAUUGGCCCUCUUCAAUGCUGAGUGUAGAACAGAAUAAUGGAAAACUGGAAGAAAAAUAAAACCUCUCCAUUUCCAGCUUCAAAAUGGCUGCAAUGGCAUCACUUCCAGCCCACUCCAAAUGAUGUCACUUCCGGUUCCACAAUCCAUUACUUCUGUCUACUCCUGAUGACGCUGGUUCCGUGUUCCCGCCUCCAAUUGUCACUUCCUGCCAACCAUUUCCUCUCCCAUCAUACAUUCUGCUAUA